AGUGAACGCUGGCGGUAGGCCUAACACAUGCAAGUCGAACGGCAGCACAGUAAGUUCUUGCCCUUACGGGUGGCGAGUGGCGGACGGGUGAGGAAUACAUCGUAAUCUACUUUUUCGUGGGGGAUAACGUAGGGACACUUACUCUAAUACCGCAUACCACCUACGGGUGAAAGCAGGGGAACUUCGGACCUUGCGCGAUUGAUUGAGUCGAUGUCGGAUUAGCUAGUUGGGGGGUUAAAGGCCCACCAAGGCGCGGAUCCGUAGCUGCUCUGAGAGGGUGAUCAGCUACACGGAAAGUGAGGCACGGUCCACACUCCUACGGGGAGAAGCAGUGCGGAAUAUUAGACAAUGGGGGAAAGCCUGAUACAGCCAUACCGCGUGAGUGAUGAAGGCCUUCGGGUUGUAAAACCCUUUUGUUGGGAAAGAAAAGAAGCCGGUUAAUACCCCGAUGUUCUGACGGUACCCAAAGAAUAAGCAACGGCUAACUUCGUG
rnacentral:rRNA from 1 species